rnacentral:lncRNA from 1 species
AGAAAGAGAGAAGAGAGAGAUAAAGGAAAGAUAGAGGGUGGUGGAGGAAGGUUAGGGGGGAUGGGUGGGAAGGGGUCAAGAGGGUCGGGUGGGAAGGGGUUUUAGGGAUGCAGAGAAGAGAGAGAGGCGAGAAAGACGGGGAGAGAGAGAUUUAAUAUAAAAAAAUUUUAAUUUUUUAAUUUUUAAUUAUUAAAAAUAUAUUUAAUAAUUUUUUAAUCCAGUUGGAUUAGUGAUUAGGUCCCGCAUGUGGCCACGUCAGAGAAAUUAACAAAAAAACUGACGAAGGUAUGACAUUGGCACAAAUUCGUAAGAUGAGGUAUGACAUUGUCAUUUUAAAAAUAUGAGGUAUAAAAGUAUCGUGAGACCAAUAGUUGAGGUAAUUUUGUGUAAUUUACCCUAAGUUUUUUUAGUAGUUUAUAAAAUUAAAAUCAACAAAAUAACAUUUUUCUUAUCAUGUCGAAACAAGUUACCCGCAUGUCACUCUCGUGUAAACCUGUUAAGGACCUGUUAUUAACGAGUUCUUAUUGUAUGACCCAAUUAGUUAUUGUGUUGAUCCGAAACCCAUUAUUUUCGUUUCGUGUCGUGUUAACGGGUCGUGUAAGAAAUUGCCAGAUCUAGCUAAAGUCAUAGGACAAAUGAGAGUAGAUUCUAAUGCCUUUAUUUAUAAAGAGUAAUGUUCGGGAGAUUAAAUUGAUAGACAAAAUUUGCAUAUUAAAUAAUGUGUCAUCAAUAGGAAAUAAGCACGUUUAUCAAGGCUUAAGUAAUAAUCAAAUAAUCAGCUUCCAUGUCAUUUAAUUUACAAAUUUUGUCCCUCCACUUGUAUAAAAACACAUGACGUAUGUGCUCGUGUUUCAGUCACAUAGUGAAUUUUGAUGAGCUAAUGAUGAGCCAUGGCUUACAAAUUGUUUAAACUGUUCACAUAAUAUUUAGUUGGUAACGUAAUAGAUCAGCUCUUGAAGGUCUUAUAAAUAAUCAAUUUUUUGUUUAUUUUGAAGCACUACUUUCCAAAAUAUCGUUCAAACAGAAUGUUAUGUUCAUAGAAAUAUAUAAAGUAUACAAAUCAAUUGUAAACCCUAAUAUGUUAAAAGUAUACCUAGUUUUUCCUUUAAUGGUCGAAUCCAUACACUGGACAAUUAGAAUGUUCACAGCAUUCCACCGCACUUCCUAUGUUUAAAUUACUCUUAAGAUAUAAGUCGUGGAUUGCCUUACGAUUAUGACCUCUUUUUUCAGUUCUUGCGCUGGUAUGUGUAUCAUGAAUAUGAAAAAAUUACUAAUAAGCAGAAAUAUUUUUGUUACAUAAAAUUUCUAAUAAGCAGAAAUAGUUUUGUUAAAUCGGCUUGUACAAAAAGUGUAUACAGUAAACCGUGAGGUUUGCCAGAAUAAUUAUAAAAUAUAAAAAAACAUGAUAUUCGAUAACUAAAGUUUUCCAUAAGUUAUAAAUUAGGGCAAAAGACUGUUUACUACCCUCAUAUUUUGUGGUUUUCAAUAUUUAGUACAUCAAGUUUUUUUCGUCCCAGAAUCAUACCUAAAGUGUAAAUUUUGGAACAAUCUCGUACAUCUGUUAGUCAGACUAUUAAGUCUCCCGUUAACUAUGAUGUGGCGCUCAUGUGGACAAUGAAUGG